CGUCUGUGGAGGAGCCUGGUCUGGACAUGUCACACGCGUGGACUCACACCCCGUGUGGCCUCCUGUGUCUGGUUCCCUCCCUGCGCGCCGUGGGCUCGGGGUCCGCCCUGGAGAGUGCAUG